rnacentral:rRNA from 1 species
GACGAACGCUGGCGGCGUGCCUAAUACAUGCAAGUAGAACGCACAGUUUAUACCGUAGCUUGCUACACCAUAGACUGUGAGUUGCGAACGGGUGAGUAACGCGUAGGUAACCUGCCUGGUAGCGGGGGAUAACUAUUGGAAACGAUAGCUAAUACCGCAUAAUAUUGAUUAUUGCAUGAUAAUUAAUUGAAAGGUGCAAUUGCACCACUACCAGAUGGACCUGCGUUGUAUUAGCUAGUAGGUGAGGUAACGGCUCACCUAGGCGACGAUACAUAGCCGACCUGAGAGGGUGAUCGGCCACACUGGGACGGAGACACGGCCCAGACUCCUACGGGAGGCAGCAGUAGGGAAUCUUCGGCAAUGGACGAAAGUCUGACCGAGCAACGCCGCGUGAGUGAAGAAGGUUUUCGGAUCGUAAAGCUCUGUUGUAAGAGAAGAACGGGUGUGAGAGUGGAAAGUUCACACUGUGACGGUAGCUUACCAGAAAGGGACGGCUAACUACGUG